rnacentral:rRNA from 1 species
CACAAGCGGUGGAUGAUGUGGAUUAAUUCGAUGCAACGCGAAAACCUUACCUACCCUUGACAUGUCCGGAAUCCCGAAGAGAUUUGGGAGUGCUCGCAAGAGAGCCGGAACACAGGUGCUGGCAUGGCUGUCGUCAGCUCGUGUCGUGAGAUGUUGGGUUAAGUCCCGCAACGAGCGCAACCCUUGUCAUUAGUUGCCAUCAUUUGGUUGGGCACUCUAAUGAGACUGCCGGUGACAAACCGGAGGAAGGUGGGGAUGACGUCAAGUCCUCAUGGCCCUUAUGGGUAGGGCUUCACACGUCAUACAAUGGUCGGUACAGAGGGUUGCCAACCCGCGAGGGGGAGCUAAUCCCACAAAGCCGAUCGUAGUCCGGAUCGCAGUCUGCAACUCGACUGCGUGAAGUCGGAAUCGCUAGUAAUCGUGGAUCAGCAUGUCACGGUGAAUACGUUCCCGGGCCUU